GACCUAACCCUUGAUUUAUCGAGAUAUGGUCGUAAAUCCUAUCCUACAUAUUAAUGGUCUUCCGACCAGUACUUGUAGGAUAGGUCUAUGCUCGAAAGGGUGUAGUGGCGUCUCCGUAAGGAUUCGUC
rnacentral:sRNA from 1 species